rnacentral:rRNA from 1 species
AUUGAACGCUGGCGGCAUGUCUUACACAUGCAAGUCGAACGGCAGCACGGGGCAACCUGGUGGCGAGUGGCGAACGGGUGAGUAAUGCAUCGGAACGUACCUUUCAGUGGGGGAUAACGUAGCGAGAGUUACGCUAAUACCGCAUAUUCUGUGAGCAGGAAAGCAGGGGAUCGCAAGACCUUGCGCUGAUUGAGCGGCCGAUGUCAGAUUAGCUAGUUGGUGAGGUAAAGGCUCACCAAGGCGACGAUCUGUAGCGGGUCUGAGAGGAUGAUCGGCCACCCUGGAACUGAGGCACGGUCCAGACUCCUACGGGAGGCAGCAGUGGGGAAUUUUGGACAAUGGGGGCAACCCUGAUCCAGCCAUGCCGCGUGAGUGAAGAAGGCCUUCGGGUUGUAAAGCUCUUUCGGCCGGGAAGAAAUCGCACGGGCUAAUACCCUGUGUGGAUGACGGUACCGGAAUAAGAAGCACCGGCUAACUACGUGCCAGCCGCCGCCGUAAUAC